AAAAAAUCAUCCAGUAAAUAUAUCCUAUUCGAGUAUUAGCUCGCUAUCGUCUAUCAGUGAGCAAACGACAGAGCAACUUAGAGAAAUCUUAGAAGAUACUCCUAAAUCAGACGACACGCUGUCUUUACAAAAAGCAAGGAGGAUGUACGCCAUGUGUAUGGACUCCAAGAAACUGAAAUUGAUCGGAAUAAACGCUCUUAGCAAUCUUGUGCGAAAGAAUGGUG